rnacentral:lncRNA from 1 species
AUGCUUGUCAGAAUCUCACUUCUUCUCCUUUAGAAAAAGUAUUAUAAAUUCAAAGAAAAAUUUGAGCCCUUGUAGUGCGGUGUUCUGACUUUUCACGCUGGUGCAACAAACAAUAAAUCAUGAAUGUAGGCUAAUGCCUAUUUACAAUUAAUUUUUCAAAGAUAAUAACAAACUAAAGGGACAAAUUUCAGGCGAGCACCACCAUGCCCAGCUAAUUUUUGUACUUUUAGCUUCUAAACCUUUUACAUAUAAUGAACUCACAAAAACAUUAUGCAAUAAGUAUUAUCAACUUACCUAUAAUAUACUGAUUAUGAGGGGAAGUAAUGGUGUUCUUCAGAUUGGGAAUCAUUUAUGUGAUAUGCUAGAAGUUUUGUUAUUUUCCCCAAAGUGUGUCUUUUACAAAAUAAAAGCAGAGAACUCUGGAGGACAAAUUUAAGACAAGAGUAUAGCAGAGGUGAUGAGGUAAAUUAGGAGUGGAGUCCCUUACUACAAUUCAGGAAAGUAAUGAUGAGCGCCCUAACUGUAGCAAUGAAAGUGAAGAUAGACUUGAGUAGAGCUGUUAAGACGUAUUUAAGAGGAAAAAUCAAUAGUAUUUGGUGAACAACUGUGUGUGAAGGGCAAA